AACGAACGCUGGCGGCAGGCCUAACACAUGCAAGUCGAGCGAGGGCUUCGGGCUUAGCGGCGGACGGGUGAGUAACGCGUGGGAACGUGCCCUUCUCUGUGGAAUAGCCCUGGGAAACUGGGAGUAAUGCCGGAUACGCCCUCGGGGGAUGGCAUCUCGCGGAGAAGGAUUUGUCGGGGAAGGAUGGGCCCGCUGCGGAUUAGGUAGCCGGUGGGGUAACCGCUUACCAACCGGAUGAUGCGGAGCUGGUUUGAGAGGAUGAUCAGCCACACUGGGACUGAGACACGGCCCAGACUCCUACGGGAGGCAGCAGUGGGGAAUCUUGGACAAUGGGGGCAACCCUGAUCUAGCCAUGCCGCGUGAGCGAUGAAGGCCUUAGGGUUGUAAAGCUCUUUCAGCGGGGAAGAUAAUGACGGUACCCGCAGAAGAAGCCCCGGCUAACUCCGUG
rnacentral:rRNA from 1 species